AUGACUUCCUAAAUCUCAUUCAUACUCUGGCCAGAGAUUCUUAAUCAUAUAAUAGAGUAUUCUCCUUCAAACGGUUGGAAGGUUAGAGAUCCCUUGUUGCGCAUUCACUUGCCUCCAUGGCUAAGUGGCUUAAUCCCAACUAUGCCGUGGACACCCUCUGAUGGAGUGACUUUGACACAGUCAAAGAUCAAGGACUUAACCACAAGACAACUAUGAUGCCUCAGGUCAAAUGACUACUUUGCAUUAUCCCAACCAUGAGUUCUCAUGUGACAUGAGUAUGAGAACUCCUCGUUGAUCGUGUUCAAUGGACUCAUUCUCUAUUGAGCAUCUACAUGCUUGUCUUGGUGUCAAUCACACUAAUGACUCGAGACCAGUCACUCUCCAUAAGAGAAGACACAGCACGUACUAAUCUUAACGGACUGUCAAUGCCCAAUUGGUAAUCCUAUGAUCAGGAAUGUUUAGGAUAUGUAUACGAAAGAGAAUGGUCUCAUAAAUCUAACUUGUUUAAAUUACAUUCUCCUAAUUACAUAUUCCUUGGACUUAUUGUUUAAGCAUAUAACAUUUAUAUGAGACGGCUUAAAACAAUAAUCUUUGCCCUUGAUAUUAAACUAGAUUAGUUUAACAUGUGAAAUGUCUGUAAAGUAUCAUCACAUGAUUGGUUUUAGGGCACAUUUCCAACAGUCAAGAGUAUUGUAUUAGAGAAAGAAUGUAUUGCAUUGUAAUCCUAAACUGAAUAGGUUCUCCACCUCUUCUGAUUAGCUUGGGUAGCCAUGAUAUACUGCUAGGUGUCACUCAUGGUUUGUGGAAGCCCUAAAGGUGAGUAAUCACUAAAGGGAGAAUUGAAAGUAAGUUUCA
rnacentral:lncRNA from 1 species